GAGUUCAAGAGUACGUGAAACUGUAUAGUAGUAAACGGAGGGGUUCUCGAAGUCGGCGGUGACGGUUCAGGGUGACGGCGGGGCGGCCUCUGGCCUUGUGAUCUGCAAAGACACAGGUUGGUUGUUGGCUUCGUCGGCGUCUGCACUCCGUUGCCGCCUCACGCAACGAACCGUUGUUGGCGAGCCGAGGGCGUGGGUGAAGUUUGGGGGCUCUUGUAGUGCCCAAGCCCCGCGUUUCUGGCCUUGUCGGCGACGGGUACUGGAGCAGUCUCGUAUAGCGAGUGUCCUCGUUGGCACGGGCUGCAUCUCUGUUGCGAGUAGGUCGGCGACCCCUCCGACCCGUCUUGAAAACAC
rnacentral:rRNA from 1 species